rnacentral:rRNA from 1 species
UACGUAGGGUGCAAGCGUUAAUCGGAAUUACUGGGCGUAAAGCGUCCGCAGGUGGCUGUGUAAGUCUGCUGUUAAAGAGUCUAGCUCAACUAGAUACAAGCAGUGGAAACUACACGGCUAGAGUACGUUCGGGGCAGAGGGAAUUCCUGGUGUAGCGGUGAAAUGCGUAGAGAUCAGGAAGAACACCGGUGGCGAAGGCGCUCUGCUAGGCCGUAACUGACACUGAGGGACGAAAGCUAGGGGAGCGAAUGGG